ensembl:lncRNA
CUGCAUUCUGGGUUAAAAAAAACUGCUUAAUGAUUUCGGGUUCAACUGUGUCACUGAAGGCUUAAAGAAGCAUUUCUACAACAAAAACAGACGAUGCCAAACUCACACAAGUGGGUAAAAUUCAUGUCAUGCAGUAAACAGACCAUUCUUACUGUGGCUGUAACAUAAAUCAGGUGUAAAGGUACCAAACCUGAAAGGAUGAAACUCUGUUCUACCCACCACUGCAAAAGCUUAUGCUAUUGAAGAACAGGAGACCGUAAAAAUAAAAUUUUAAAAAAGAUGUUGAAUAUAAUAUGCUCAGUAAACAAAACAUGAAGACCUGACUGUGGCAUCCAUCGUCUCAAGCUGGAUGACUGGGCCAGAAACUCACUGUGGUAUAUGUGACACGGACAUAAAGGUAAACAAGUCUCUAAAGUUAGAAGAGAAAUGAUAGAAAAGAACUGUUCUCUGUUCAAAAUUGCACUGAAUGGUCUGUAUUUUUCUGGCAAGAUGAUGCUGGUCUGAAGAAUAAUGAGCCCAUUUGCUUUUCUGAUGUUGCUUGCCAGGGAAAAGUAAAUCUCACUCUCUUGCUUUGCAGUUUACUUUGUGUUAGUUUGACAGGAUCUUUAAAGAAAUUAAAUGGAAAAUAAUUGAAUCCUCAUAUAAGGCUUUAUUGUCUCAGGGGAAAGAAAAGUUUUGCAUAACACAGCCUUACCUGAAAAUCAUUAAUUGCA